rnacentral:rRNA from 1 species
UAAUUGAAGAGUUUGAUCAUGGCUCAGAUUGAACGCUGGCGGCAGGCCUAACACAUGCAAGUCGAGCGGCAGCACAGAGAAACUUGUUUCUCGGGUGGCGAGCGGCGGACGGGUGAGUAAUGCCUGGAAAUUGCCCUGAUGUGGGGGAUAACCAUUGGAAACGAUGGCUAAUACCGCAUGAUAGCUUCGGCUCAAAGAGGGGGACCUUCGGGCCUCUCGCGUCAGGAUAUGCCCAGGUGGGAUUAGCUAGUUGGUGAGGUAAGGGCUCACCAAGGCGACGAUCCCUAGCUGGUCUGAGAGGAUGAUCAGCCACACUGGAACUGAGACACGGUCCAGACUCCUACGGGAGGCAGCAGUGGGGAAUAUUGCACAAUGGGCGCAAGCCUGAUGCAGCCAUGCCGCGUGUGUGAAGAAGGCCUUCGGGUUGUAAAGCACUUUCAGUCGUGAGGAAGGUGGUAGUGUUAAUAGCACUAUCAUUGACGUUAGCGACAGAAGAAGCACCGGCUA